UGUGGGUUUGCUUCCUGACUUUCUCCCGCUGGUGCUCUUGUGCGGGUUUGCUCCCUGACUUUCUCCCGCUGGUGUUCUGUUGGUGUUCUACCUGUCUUCUUCCUUCUCGGUUUCACGGAUGCCCUGUGCUGAUGACCGAACACUUCUUCGAUUGGUAAGGAGGUAUUCAUCUUGAUUUUUUGCCGAGAAUUGAGAAAGGUAUUGUGAUAGCCCAGCCCAGCCAGCAGAUCAAAGCCCAAAAAAAAAAAAAUAGGGGAUGCAAAAUCGGGAAGAAGACUCCCGAUAGGAGUCUUCUUCUCCGGCGAGUCCCGGGCAAAUUAGGACUCCUAGGACCCCUCGGAGUCCUAGGGUUCUCUAUAAGAAGACCCCCUCCCUCUUGAGACCCAACAUCGACCUCCUUCCUCUCUCCUUCUCUCCGAUUUUCUCGAAUUAGAGCCGCGGACACCGUCCGAUUU
rnacentral:lncRNA from 1 species